rnacentral:rRNA from 1 species
UACAGAGGUCCCGAGCGUUGUUCGGAUUCACUGGGCGUAAAGGGUGCGUAGGUGGUGAGGUAAGUCGGAUGUGAAAUCUCCGGGCUCAACCCGGAAAUGGCAUUGGAAACUACCUUGCUGGAGGGUUUGAGGGGGGAUUGGAAUACUUGGUGUAGCAGUGAAAUGCGUAGAUAUCAAGUGGAACACCAGUGGCGAAGGCGAAUCCCUGGAAAAUACCUGACACUGAGGCACGAAAGCUAGGGGAGCAAACAGG